AACAAGGUUUCCGUAGGUGAACCUGCGGAAGGAUCAUUAUCCAUCUCAACCAGGUGCGGUCGCGGCCCUCGGGGGUUCUCUCCCGGGUGGUAGGGGUAACACCCUCACGCGCCGCAUUCCUGCAUCCUUUUUUUACGAGCACCUUUCGUUCUCCUUCGGCGGGGCAACCUGCCGCUGGAACUUAACAAAACCUUUUUUGCAUCUAGCAUUACCUGUUCUGAUACAAACAAUCGUUACAACUUUCAACAAUGGAUCUCUUGGCUCUGGCAUCGAUGAAGAACGCAGCGAAAUGCGAUAAGUAGUGUGAAUUGCAGAAUUCAGUGAAUCAUCGAAUCUUUGAACGCACAUUGCGCCCCUUGGUAUUCCAUGGGGCAUGCCUGUUCGAGCGUCAUCUACACCCUCAAGCUCUGCUUGGUGUUGGGCGUCUGUCCCGCCUUCGCGCGCGGACUCGCCCCAAAUUCAUUGGCAGCGGUCCUUGCCUCCUCUCGCGCAGCACAAUUGCGUCUGCGGGGGGGCGUGGCCCGCGUCCACGAAGCAACAUUACCGUCUUUGACCUCGGAUCAGGUAGGGAUACCCGCUGAACUUAAGCAUAUCAAUAAGCGGAGGAAAAGAAACCAACAGGGAUUGCCCUAGUAACGGCGAGUGAAGCGGCAACAGCUCAAAUUUGAAAUCUGGCUCUCUUUGGGGGUCCGAGUUGUAAUUUGCAGAGGAUGCUUUGGCAUUGGCGGCGGUCUAAGUUCCUUGGAACAGGACAUCACAGAGGGUGAGAAUCCCGUACGUGGUCGCCUGCCUUUGCCGUGUAAAGCUCCUUCGACGAGUCGAGUUGUUUGGGAAUGCAGCUCUAAAUGGGAGGUAAAUUUCUUCUAAAGCUAAAUACUGGCCAGAGACCGAUAGCGCACAAGUAGAGUGAUCGAAAGAUGAAAAGUACUUUGGAAAGAGAGUCAAAAAGCACGUGAAAUUGUUGAAAGGGAAGCGCUUGCAGCCAGACUUGCCCGCAGUUGCUCACCUAGGCUUUGGCCUGGGGCACUCUUCUGCGGGCAGGCCAGCAUCAGUUUGGGCGGUUGGAUAAAGGCCUCUGUCACGUAUCUCCCUUCGGGGUGACCUUAUAGGGGAGGCGCAAUGCAACCAGCCCGGACUGAGGUCCGCGCAUCUGCUAGGAUGCUGGCGUAAUGGCUGUAAGCGGCCCGUCUUGAAACACGGACCAAGGAGUCUAACAUCUAUGCGAGUGUUUGGGUGUCAAGCCCGAGCGCGCAAUGAAAGUGAACGGAGGUGGGAACCCUUUGGGUGCACCAUCGACCGAUCCUGAUGUCUUCGGAUGGAUUUGAGUAAGAGCAUAGCUGUUGGGACCCGAAAGAUGGUGAACUAUGCUUGAAUAGGGUGAAGCCAGAGGAAACUCUGGUGGAGGCUCGCAGCGGUUCUGACGUGCAAAUCGAUCGUCAAAUUUGGGCAUAGGGGCGAAAGACUAAUCGAACCAUCUAGUAGCUGGUUCCUGCCGAAGUUUCCCUCAGGAUAGCAGUAACGUUUUCAGUUUUAUGAGGUAAAGCGAAUGAUUAGAGGCAUGGGGGCUGAAACAGCCUUCACCUAUUCUCAAACUUUAAAUAUGUAAGAAGUCCUUGUUACUUGAUUGAACGUGGACAUUUGAAUGUAUCGUUACUAGUGGGCCAUUUUUGGUAAGCAGAACUGGCGAUGCGGGAUGAACCGAACGCGGAGUUACGGUGCCGGAAUACACGCUCAUCAGACACCACAAAAGGUGUUAGUUCAUCUAGACAGCAGGACGGUGGCC
rnacentral:rRNA from 1 species